AAUCGAGCGGCGAACGGGUGAGUAACACGUAGGUAACCUGCCUUUUAGUUUGGGAUACCCGAUGGAAACGUCGGCUAAUACCGGAUACGUACUUUGGAGGCAUCUCCGAAGUAUAAAAGGGGCCUUAAAGCCUCGCUAAUAGAUGGACCUGCGGCGCAUUAGUUAGUUGGUGAGGUAACGGCCCACCAAGGCGAGGAUGCGUAGCCGACCUGAGAGGGUGAUCGGCCACAUUGGGACUGAGACACGGCCCAGACUCCUACGGGAGGCAGCAGUAGGGAGUUUUCGGCAAUGGGGGAAACCCUGACCGAGCAACGCCGCGUGAGUGAUGAAGGUCUUCGGAUCGUAAAGCUCUGUUGUGAAAGACGAAUGACAGACCGAGGAAAUGCGGUUUGUUUGACGGUACUUCACCAGAAAGCCACGGCUAACUACGUGCCAGCAGCCGCGGUAAUACGUAGGUGGCAAGCGUUAUCCGGAAUUAUUGGGCGUAAAGAGUGAGCAGGCGGUUGCGUAAGUCUGAAGUCAAAUCCUGUGGCUUAACCACAGUUCGCUUUGGAAACUGCGCGGCUAGAGUGCGAGAGAGGUAAGUGGAAUUCCAUGUGUAGCGGUGAAAUGCGUAGAUAUAUGGAGGAACACCAGUGGCGAAGUCGGCUUACUAGCUCGAUACUGACGCUCAGUCACGAAAGCGUGGGUAGCAAAUAGGAUUAGAUACCCUAGUAGUCCACGCCGUAAACGAUGAGAACUAAGUGUUGGGGAAACUCAGUGCUGAAGUUAACACAUUAAGUUCUCCGCCUGGGGAGUACGCUCGCAAGAGUGAAACUUAAAGGAAUUGACGGGGGCCCGCACAAGCGGUGGAG
rnacentral:rRNA from 1 species